UUAAUGGAGAGUUUGAUCCUGGCUCAGGACGAACGCUGGCGGCGUGCCUAAUACAUGCAAGUCGAGCGGGGUUACUUAGAAGCUUGCUUCUAAGUAACCUAGCGGCGGACGGGUGAGUAACACGUAGGCAACCUGCCCACAAGACAGGGAUAACUACCGGAAACGGUAGCUAAUACCCGAUACAUCCUUUUCCUGCAUGGGUGAAGGAGGAAAGGCGGAGC
rnacentral:rRNA from 1 species